UAAAACGACUCUCGGCAACGGAUAUCUCGGCUCACGCAUCGAUGAAGAACGUAGCAAAAUGCGAUACUUGGUGUGAAUUGCAGAAUCCCGUGAACCAUCGAGUUUUUGAACGCAAGUUGCGCCCGAAGCCAUCUGGUUGAGGGCACGUCUGCCUGGGCGUCACGC
rnacentral:rRNA from 1 species